rnacentral:lncRNA from 1 species
CUCUUUUUAUAUCAUAGUUCAUUUCUGUGUGUGUGUUACAUUUUUUUCUGUUGUGUAGUAGUUCUACGUUUAUAUUUGAUGCGUUUCACUCAGUUUUAGUUUGUAACCCGGAUUUGUUUUUUUCUCAAUCGAUUUAUGAAUUUCGACCGUCGGUAUACUACUGUUGCCUUUAUUUAGAUUCAUAAAAUACGGAAUAUUAGUCUGAGGUCAAGAAGCUGUGAAGGAUUAAUUUUGGUCUAGUUACUUCAAUUUAAACCUUAAAAUUGAUUUAUUUUUAAAACUAAGAUGCAGUGAGAACGUAAAUAAUACUUUUAUCUACAAGAUAUCAAAUAACAAGGAUAUGAUCAACGGUUUAUCACAGUACGGCCUUACUAUUUUCUAGUAUUGACUUUUCUUGGAAGAUUUCUAAUGA